rnacentral:snoRNA from 1 species
CCCUCCUACAAAGCUGUGUGUGUCUGUGGUUUCCUAUCCUUGGACAUGUACAAAUUGGAGGCAAAGAGAUGGGGACUUAGAGAGUCUAAGUCUAGAGUCAGCUUGCUCCCCGCAGGCUUAUUAUCAUCCUAUCCCACACAG